UACGGAGGAUGCAAGCGUUAUCCGGAAUGAUUGGGCGUAAAGCGUCCGCAGGUGGCAAUGUAAGUCUGCUGUUAAAGAGUCUAGCUCAACUAGAUAAAAGCAGUGGAAACUACAUAGCUAGAGUACGUUCGGGGCAGAGGGAAUUCCUGGUGUAGCGGUGAAAUGCGUAGAGAUCAGGAAGAACACCAGUGGCGAAAGCGCUCUACUGGACGGUGACUGACACUCAGGGACGAAAGCUAGGGGAGCGAAUGGG
rnacentral:rRNA from 1 species